GUAGGAGCGCGGGGGCCGGCCGUGAAGAGUGCUGGAGUUGCCAGUGAGGAACAUGUCGGAGUCCGAGCUGGGCAGAAAGUGGGACCGGUGCAUGGCCGACACGGUCGUGAAGCUAGGUGAGCUCAUCUGCCUCUGGUAGGCCCUGGGCUGGAGCCGAGCGGCCCGCGCGCGGACGGGAAGCCGCAGGGGUCAAGCCGCGGCCUGCUGCUGUCUGGACGGCGGGGCGCGCUGAGCUGCGGGGCGCUGACAGGUACUGGGUUUGGAUUAGGAAUUGUUUUCUCCCUCACCUUCUUUAAGAGAAGAAUGUGGCCAUUAGCCUUUGGUUCUGGCGUGGGAUUGGGAAUGGCCUACUCCAACUGUCAGCAUGACUUUCAGGCUCCGUAUCUUCUACAUGGAAAAUACGUCAAAGAGCAGUGACUUAUGCUGAGAACAUCCCAGCGGGAGGAAAGAGAAACCAUGUUUAUUCCUCAGGAAUACUGAAGUGCCCGGAGUGCGCUGACAUCCUGUGAUGGUGCCAUCAGCAACGCUUUCAACUCCAGCCACUGUUUGUGUUUGAAACCAAGUCUGUUGCUUUUGUAUUAUCUCUUUGGAAAUUGUAAGGAGGUCUUAAAUAAAUUAAAAACGGGAAGCCCAAUGCAAGCAAUGCCUUUAUUCCUUUAUGUUGCAGGAGGCUUCUAUUUGAAUGGCCUAGCUGUGGCCUCUGUGACCUCCUGAAGACACAGACAUGUCCAACGCACUCCCCUAAUGCACAGUUGACCUUCCCACCCCCAUCCCAAGACUGGUGGCACCCCACUGUGUGUGAUGAUGGCCACGGUGAGGUCUUCAGGAGCACACUCCUGAUGGGUGCACCAGUCUGCCUCACUGAUGUCUGUCCCCUGCUGCAUGGAGCUCUGACUGACAGUGUGGAGCUGGUGGCCAGCCCCAGCCUGGAUGGAAGGACAUGCUGAGGUCUGAGCACAAGUGGCCACUGCAGUACCCUCUGUCCUUGUGGGUUUGUGAGGCAUGACGUAGACCGUUUUCCAGUUACUUUUGAUGUGUGCAGCACAUGUGAGCUCGGGCUUUUGUAGGUGUCUACUGUGAGUGCUCUCACAGUGACGGAAGUGCUUGUAGCUAGGAAAAACAAGCAGUUCCUGAGCUAUCCAGGGCAGGGGGAGCAGCUCGGGGGCGGGGGGCAUCAACCAACACAGGGCACGUAGGUUAGACCUCAGUCCUUUAGUGAGUAAGUUCAGGGUAGCCUCUCCCCUCCCUCUGCAUUUUUCUCCCUUAUUCUUUAUUCUAUUUUCCUUUCCAGAAACAUGUUUGGGGCCGUGGAUCCGAACAGGCAACAGGGGUGCUCUGCCAAAGAUGGGCUGUGCCCAGGACAGCAAGUCAUGGUCAUGGCACGCCUCAGCUGCUUGGCUGUGUUUCAUACGGCUCUCUUAACCCGUGCAGAGCAGCCAUGCCGUUAGGAGACAGUAGAACAGUACUCCCGCAGCUGGCUGGGUUCCUCCCUCCAGCUCUUCUCCAUGUUAGCUUUCUAUAUAGUAGCCCCUAAUUCCCCCUACCUUUCUGCCUUAAGAGUUAAGUGACAGCCCUCCCCAAUCCAAAAACACAAAGGGAAGACUGUGUCCCCAAGUCUCUAGGUAGAAAAUGACAGGAACAUGGAAUGGACAGGGACAUCUCUGUUGUACCGAUCUGGUCCCUUAGCACCCUUGGGUUCUGCAGAAGUGCCCCAGGAACCAGCCCACUCCUGGAGGGAAUGAUUUGGGACCAGGUAAAGGAAGGCCCGCUGUUUGUCUUGGUCCCAGAGCGGUUUGUAUUCCCACCUUGUAGCUCUUGCAGAGGGCAUCCAUCGGAGACACAAAGCCUGAUCUUGUCCUCCCGUCCCUGCCCCCACCUCAGAUGAGCCUGCAGAAGCCUCAGAGCUUGUUGGCGAGGGGAAGCAUUCUGUUCUACUUGAAGUUUCACUCGGAAUUGAAAUCCUCUGGAGGCCCUGCUCCACUGUGGAAUUGAGACGCUUUGGCUUCAUCUCUCCUUUGCCCUCCUGGAGUCAAACACAAGGAAAUUCAUGGGUUUAAGGAUCAGUGAUGGGCACCCAGCUGGGCACAGGACGCUAGAGCAAAGCUGUGGCGCCCCAGAAGUGGCCUGCACUGCCAACAUACAUAAAUACAUACAGCCUGAACUUGACACUGUAUAAUUUAGCCCAGAACAAUAUGUAUUUUGAACUCAUUUAGAUGGAUGACUUUUGUAUUCUGAGUGGCUGGGGAGCCUUCAUUGGAGCACAUUUACUGUCUACAGAGGCAGGCCUUUGUUCUGAGACGUGGCUUUUGGAGCAUUUUGCUGAGCUGUCCCUUUGAGUGAAUGUCACCCUCUCCCUGCUUUCAAAAGACCCAAGAAUGCAGUCCCACAACCCUGCUGUAGGAAACAGACACUGGGCUAAGAAGGGAGAUGGCUCUUGUUUUUGCUGUUGGUUCUCAAACCUCUGUUUACAUUUUUUUUUUAAUGUAACCAACCCAUAAUUGCAUUUUGCUUGUCAUGGUUCAAUCUGAUUGCAUUGUUGGAAGGCCUAUUUUUGAGCUUGUCCAAAUAAACUCUGCAGAGCGUUUCCACGAGGAUGGAGUCCAUGGA